rnacentral:lncRNA from 1 species
AUACUGGGUUUGGGAGAGUGUCGCGCCGGGCGGCCACGAAAACACAGCGCGUCGAGGCCGAUUUAUCCGCGGGUCGCCUCUUCCCUUCCGCAGACUACCACACCCACGCAGCCGAGAUGCCGCGUCUACCGUCCGGGUUUCCGGGGCCGGGUUCGGCUCCAAGGCGCGGAGGAGGAAGAGGUAAAGCACAAACGAGUGGGCUGCGGCGGUUGAAGAUUUGAAAACGCGUCACGCGGCCGCGGCGCCCAUACGCGCGCCCCGCCCUCUCUCACGCCGCGCGCCGCGCCCCCACGUGCCUGCCUCCUGGCGCUGCGCGCCCCGCCCCCACGGGCCGCGUCUCCGCCCCUCGCCCCUCCCCCAUAGCUGUGCCUUCCAGGCCAGUGGUCACCGCUCUCCGCCGGUGGCUUUGGGUCCCACCGCUACCGUGGAGUCCUUGUGGCUCCUUGUUUACCAAACGUAGUGAAUGCAGUUAGCCCAGGUGGCCAGCCCAACCCUCCACCAGGGUCAUUCCCGCCUACUAAGAUUGCCGGGACCGCUAGCCCUCCAGCUUCCUCCUUCACCAGAUUUUCAGCUACUGAUGUUACAAACAAAAUAUUGCAGCAUAGAGUUGAGGAAAAGACUUAAACCAGGUGAGUAGUAAGAAAAGUCCGAAGAAAUGAUAAGACUACCAUUUUUAUGAAGUUCAUUAUUGGGAUGAUUGAUAAAAUUGGAAUAUGAACCAUAGGAUACUCUCUAAAUUAAGUUUCCUCAAAUUGAUAAUGUUACUGUGAAAUGUAAGAAUAUUCUGAGGUAAGGCACCCGGAUGACUCAGUUGGUCAAGCAUCUGACUUCACCUCAGGUCACGAUCUCACAGUUUGUGCUUUUGAGCCCAGGUCAGGCUCUGUGAUGAGACAGCUCAGAGCCUGGAGCCUGGUUCAGAUUCUGUGGUCUCCCUCUCUCUCUACCACUCUCCCAUCAUUUUAUAGAUGAUUUAAUGCUCUGUCUCUCUCUUUCUCUCUCUCAAAAACAUAAACAUUAAAAAAAAUUUUUUUAAGAAUAUUCUGAGGUUUUUAGGAUGAAGAGUUGUGAUGUAUUCAACCUACUUUCAAAUUGUUCACAAAAAAGUAAGUGGUACCAAAGUGUGUUUGUGAGAGAGAGAGAGAGAGAGAGAGGGAGAGGGAGAGAGAGAGAGUUUGGUGAAAUUCUGGGUUAAUAGGAACUCAUUUAUUUCCAGUGAAAGUAUAAAUUGGUCCAGUCUUUCUGGAAAGCAUUUUGGCAAUUUAUCUCAAGUUUUUAGUUAAGCCUAGUAAGCUUACUUUUUCUUACAUAGUAAUUCUAGGAAGACUACAAAAAACUAUGUAUAUGAGGAUAUUUAUACAAGAGUGUAUGAGUGAAUGAAUAAUGAAAAUUUGACAGUGACCUAAAUAUCCAACAAUGUGAGACUGAUUAAAUAUAAUCAAAAACUCAAAGUAUUAGAAAUGAUAGUAUAGGGGCGCCUGGGUGGCGCAGUCGGUUAAGCGUCCGACUUCAGCCAGGUCACGAUCUCGCGGUCUGUGAGUUUGAGCCCCGCGUCAGGCUCUGGGCUGAUGGCUCGGAACCUGGAGCCUGUUUCCGAUUCUGUGUCUCCCUCUCACUCUGCCCCUCCCCCGUUCAUGCUCUGUCUCUCUCUGUCCCAAAAAUAAAUAAACGUUGAAAAAAAAAAUUAAAAAAAAA